CUGGUGUGCGGUAGUGGCGGGCGUACCUUCCGCCGGAGUGGGGAGGUGGAGGGAGCGGACGGGGGAAAAGAUUGGGUCGAAGCCGGCGACCGGGAGGGGUUGGAUGCGACCGAAGGCGACGGUGUGGCGGCAGCAAAGACACCGACGUGGUGGGGCAGGCAAGUGUAGGCGGUGGGACCCAGCAAGUUACUGGGUCGCCGUUCGGCAAGCUGCAGAGUCGAGCUCUCCACGGGCAGAGUCGAAAAGGGUUGGAGGGGACCUGCAAGUACGAGCAAGAGAAGUCAUAUAAGUGAAGUUGUAGACCACGAAGAAGUCAAGUAGCAUCACACGUAAAAGCGAAGUAGAACGUCCAUGCUAGUAAGAGACGGGUAGGGCUUUUUUUUUUGCUAGUAAGAGACGGGGACGAUUACAUAAAACAUCAUUGACAUUUGUUUUCUCCAUCGUGUGACCUUGUUUUGUCGUCACUUCUUUCUAUGGGAUACAAUUAAAACCAGUGAGAUAACAAGCAAGGUAGUGAACCUCUACAUACGGACUGGUAAAAAAGAGUUUAAACCGUAAACAGUUCAACACUCCGAUGGGUAAGCCCACAAGUAAAGUAACCAAUUUACAACUUAAAUCCGAUACUCUAACCAUUCUGGUAUUAGGUACAAGGUCAGAAGUUAACAAUAGUACAUCAAGUAAUGCCAGAACUCCCCUAAACACAGGUCUUACCCCCAAAACUAACGACGACCAACUUGGAUGACUGUUGUGUCCAAAACUAAAGAGGACCAAUACAUAGAGUACCACCAAGUGUCCAUCUUCUACCCUAUAAGUCUCGAUUGAAACAACAAAACCAAACACCGUGAAUCUACCAAAACUUUUACAAAACGUGUCCAAAAAAGGGGCACCUAGGUCGUGGACAAGGAGCACUGGACGUCGUCGUCCUCUGUGUUCCAGUGGAGGGCCGCGACGACCAGUGCACUUGCGGCAGUUUUUUACCACGAGAGUCAAGUCAUGCACUUGUUAGUAGUCAAGUACUUUUUAUGUAUCACGUCCUAAGCCCCCCACGGAUCAGGUCGAGGACGUUGGUUGUGUCCAGCAACGGGGAAAACGGUGUUGCCGUCCUCGUGCUUGUGCUCACACCAGCAGGAGUUGGUCAAGGAGUGCGCCGGAGACGCGUUCGGGACGAGUACGUACGAAUGUGGUUUUCAUGUUGAGAACGAUGAGAGGAGCAUGAACGUGAACGAAUAAAAGAUUCGUGAUUAGGAUAACGAAGGAGAACCCCUUUCCCUAGGGUACAACUUCGAUAGAACCACGAGUGUGCGAUAAAUAUAAGUAGUGGUAUCACAUGCUUUGUAUACUUUUGGUAAGACCGAAGCCUCUUUUAUAUUGGUCAUGUACACGUUAACGCGCUCUUCAAGGGAAUACUUUCAAGGAACAUUUGUUUGGUGUACUUUCAAGUAGCUCUCUUUGAAACAUUCAAGUUCUACCGAUAUCUUUUUGAAACAUCCAAGUCUACCCAUAUCUUUUGAAACAUUUAAAUAAAAGAGUUACAUGAAUACUAUAGGUCAAAGAAAAAAGUCAAGUCAUGUUAAAGAUUUCAAGUAAGUCAAGUUAAGAGUAAAAAAAGGUCAAAGGACUCAAGUACCUUAAACUGUCAGAAAACACACAUAUACGUUCAAGGUCAAAAGGGCAUCUACUUUUAAUGGGAACUUACGUUACACGAUUAACGAGUACAUACUAAAAUGGGAAUACUAACACAUGUUGUUACUUUCCAAAUCUACCGACUCUAACCAGUUCAAGGAAAGAUAAAGUUAACCACAGGUUUGACGUAUUGUACAUGAAACGUUACUGCCGGCGUGUACGGUGUGCGAUGGUCUAAGCGGCGGGUGUCCCUUCUUCUGGAGAUGGAUACCGUUACUGCUGGCGUGUACGGUGUGCGAUGGUCUAAGCGGCGGGUGUCGACGUUGGGAAGCUGGCCGUUCCGACGGUAAAGGGGGUGUGGGCUGCGGCGGACCCGUGGGGCCUGUUGCUCUGGUAGCGGAGGGGUACGAGUUAGAUCUCAAGAACACACAAACGUACCAUCCACGAGCAUGUUUACGGGGAUUCCUACGAAAAAACAUAGAUUUUUAGUCAGGUCGACCAUCUGUACCUCCACUAAAAACAUAGAUUUUAGUAUACACGAAAAGAGAGGUCAACUAACGAACACAAUUUCCUUCGGUCCUCUUCGAUGUCCUCUUUUAACAGAUACUGGCACCUCGAUACAUACACAUACAUUACAGACGUGAUGCACAUACUUGUCCUUUC
rnacentral:rRNA from 1 species